rnacentral:rRNA from 1 species
ANUUUAUAUCUUGAAACUGCNAACGGCUCAUUAAAUCAGUUAUAAUCUACUUGAUUGUAAAAUCUACAUGGAUAACUGUAGUAAUUCUAGAGCUAAUACAUGCAAAAAAUCCUGACUGUUAUAAAAAGGAUGUAUUUAUUAGGUACAAAAUCAAUGCUGGCACUUGUGUCAGGUUUAUUGAUGAUUCAUAAUAACUAAACGAAGCGCACGACCUUGAGUUGGCGCUGAUACAAACGAGUUUCUGCCCUAUCAACUUUCGAUGGUAGUAUAGAGGACUACCAUGGUUUCAACGGGUAACGGGGAAUGCUUAUAUUUGUUAUUAUAAUCUUCGGAUUUUAAUAACAAAUAUAAGUCGGCGACGAUUCAUUCGAAUUUCUGCCCCAUCAACUCUCGAUGGUAGGAUAGAGGCCUACCAUGGUCGCAACGGGUAACGGGGAAUA